UAGGAGCAAAUGGAAUGGAAAAACCAGAGUCAGACAGCGGUCAAGGUGGGGAUGGCCGGACAGGCAAAUCAGAAGAGGAGGAGCUGCUUCCAUCAGCGGGAGGUGAAGGCCACAGAAGGUGAAGCAGAAAUUCUUUAUGGGUGAGAAGAUCUACUGAGUGCAGGACACGAGGUGAACUGCCCUUAUUUUCUGUUUGGGAAUUCCAUCCCUAGCUCUAAAAAAACAAGAUGAAUGUGAGCUCACAUGAGUCAAUUUUCUGGACACCACAGCUGGCCAAUCAGAGUGAAGGCCAAAGAAAAUCUCUCCUGUCCUCUGGAAUGUUAACUAGGGAAACAGAAAAAAUGAAGCCAUGAUUGCUGAGGGCAGAACAGAGAAAAAGAAGCAGACAGACAGACAGGAAGAGACAGAGAGAGAGAAAGAGAAAAUGAAACAAAGGAUCGGUUUUCCUACUGAACCACUGAAACAAGCUUCAACUACAGCAAGAUAACUUGAUUUUUCAAUUACAUGAGUGUGAAAUGUUUCCAUAAUUAUUUAUGACAAUUUUAGAGCUAAAAUUGUGUGUUUGCUAUAGUAAAACACAUUCUGAAACCACAAAGCAGCAACACAGGUAAGGUGGAAGAGACACCGCAGAGCCUGGACCAAUCCUGGCGUUUUGUCCACUACACUGGGCAGCCCGCACCGUCAGUGAUGCUGCCUCCAGGAGGAGGAGCAAGAUGGGGAAGAAGCCUUAAGAUCACUCAUGCCUGGGUGCCACCCUGGCUGCACACUGAUGAAAAGAGCCUCCUCGGCUGCACCCCGACCUGGUGAACCAGAAUCCCUUUCAUAGCGGCACUGAGCGAUUCUGAUGGUGGCAGCUUUUCCAUACCUGUGACCUUGACUUCCCAGUGGUGGAAGGAAGGGGCAGCAAAGCAGAUUAAUGCAGAUGCUGAAGUUAAGUCCAGAGCACUGAAUCUAUGCGUGGUGGGCUGGGAGACUUCAAGGCCCUUCCCAUUUACUACAGAGAGCCCCAACUUAACCAAGUGUUUAGGCCCUCCAGAGGGCUGGAAGGGCUCCCUGUCUGACUGCGGACUGGUUUUGGUUUUCCUUCCUGGUUCACAGCCACAUGAAGAGCUGAGAUGGCCAGAGAAGUGACCACAAUAAAUGACUCUUUGGGGUCACUUUUUGACUCAGGACCUCUGGCUUGUCAGAUAGGAGCUUUUGCCACUGAGCUAAAUCCCCAGACCAUUUUAAAACCUUUUUAUCUUUUAUCACUUUUAAAACCUAUUUGUCUUUCUUCCUUCUUUUAAACAAUAAGGAAAAUCAGUUCUGCUCAGAAUUACUAAAGUUAAGGACCCAGUAUAUCACCCAUGCCAGGGGCUCUGUAGUUUCCCUUUCCCAUCCUGGGCUUCCUAGCCCUGCGCAUCUUCCCUGAGACAGUUUCCAAACGGUUCCCUGCUGGGAGCACUGAUUCUCACAGCAGAGACCGGAAGCUAGCUUGGUGGUAAAGGCCACAGCACUCAGAGGCCUCUUGAAUGUUGCCACUCCUGAGGUCUCCUUGGCAACCGGACACCCACAGGGAUGCAAUUAUCAAGAUGAAUUCAGCCACACCUGCGGCAAGUAAUAGCUGAGGCCAAACAGGAAGGAGGAGAGGAAUGUGGAAAGGUGGGCUGGGCUGGGGGCCAGUCUUACACGCCACUUUCCUCUGGCCCCUUUCGCAUCCUGCCCUGUCCCCCUUUGUGGGGCGGGGGAGGUGCGGGUGGUGUCUGCUAAAGUGGUUUUAGUAUCUGGUGUGAAAACUACUUUUUUUUUUUUUUUUUUGUAUUUUUCUUUUUACCGGUACCGGGGAUCGAACUCACGACUGUCUGCUUGCAAAGGCAGGCCCUUAUGCCGCUGAGCUAAAUCCCCAGCCCCGUGAAAACUACUUUUAACCUAGCUGUUGUUUUACGGAUUAGCCUUGUUUUGCUGGGAUCUGGCUUGGGAUUUUUUUUUUUUCCUUUACAUUCUCUCACUGGGAAGCCCAGGCUGACCUAGAAUUGGUGAGCUUUUGUUUCAUCCUCCUGAGUGCUGGAAUUACAGAUGUACACCAUCACAUCUGGUGACUCAAGGCUGGGAAUGGUGGCACGUUCCUGUAAUCCCAGCCCAUGGAAGGCUGAGGCCGGAAGAUCAUUGAGAGUUCGAGGCCAGCCUGGACUAUAUAGUGGACAGGGAGACCUUGUCUCAAAAAAAAAAAAAAAAAACCACUUACAAAACAGGAAGUGAGAACUUGAGGUACAAGGACUUAGUCCAGUGUAGGCCAGUGAUCUUCCCUCAACCCAUGGGGACCCAGCCCCACCCCUGCUCAACAAAACAGCUUGCAGUUUUUGGUUUCUUUUUUCCUUUUAAACUAAGAAUUCUUUUUAGAUAGACAAUAGGAAACAGGGAGAUGGGAAGGGGACCAAGAGAUGGAAGGAGGAGAAGGGGCAUAAAAGGUGGAGAUGUGUCACAUACACACACCAUCUCCCCAGAAUGAGUGCAAUCAUUAUUACUGUGAAAGAGACUAAAAUAAAAGUUAAAGAAUUUUC